rnacentral:misc_RNA from 1 species
AAGUCGUAACAAGGUCUCCGUAGGUGAACCUGCGGAGGGAUCAUUAACACUGGGAAGCGCACCAGCAAUGGUGCCGCCAACCAUUUCAACACCCAUACUAGCGUGAACUACUAUGACCCUUUUUGUCAUUCGAGCUGCUGACAGCAGCGGCUGUAGCGGCUGUUGUUGGUGACUCGAAUGAUUACUAUUGUUUUGCAACACCCUUUCCAACCGCAACAACUGUAACUGUGAACUAGUGUGCAUGCGAGAGCAUGUUUUCACUGUGAACUAUUACGAACUAUUAUAGAGUACAACUUUUAACAACGGAUCUCUUGGCUCUC